UCCGGAUUAAGAGUCCAGAGGUCCGUCUGUGGUUUGGGGGUAUUUGGGUGCCCCUGGAAUGAAGUACGUUCUGAAGUAUGCUGCACCGAAGUGAGGGGACCGGGAGUCAUGGAGGGCCAGAGCGCAGAGAUGCUGCAGGCCAGGUGGAGGCGGAGAAGUUGCAGCGCCUCCCAGUGCACAAAGAGCUGGAGCAAGAAUUCGACCUUGGCACCCUACCGGCUCCGGACCGCACUCCCGGACAGGCCGAGCUGCCGGCCUUGGCGCGGGACAGCACGCAGCUGCUCAUCACCGUGCUGCUGCCGACCGUGCGCUGGGGGAGGCGGUGGUAGCGCGCUUGCCGGUGCCCUCCACUCGCUUGCCCCGCGGGAAGCUGCUAUCCGUGCCGCGGCUGCUCACCCGCUGGCAGCAGUUCGCGCGUCAUCAGAGCAUCCACCCAAGAAGACCACUUUCUUGUGGGACGAGGUGAGUGGCCAGUGACGGUGCUGAUUGGACUGCAAGCUCGCCCGGAACCACAGUAUGGAAUGGCUGAUAAAUGUGCCUGGGGGCACCCGACCCCAUGGAAGCAGAUUUAGGCCAAGAAGGAACGCGUGGCCAAGAACGAGCUAAAACGACCGCGGAUCCGAGUGCACAAGAUGUAGAUGCCCAACUCAGUCGGCCUGCACCCAACGAGACACCUGAGUAAGGAGGAGCUGGUCUGCGCCCAGCAAGUGGCCAGUGACUCCACCGCUGCAGUGGGACGCUUCCAGGAGCGCCUCUCUAAGGAGAAGACGCCCCUAGAGCCCCGGAAGAAGAGGAAGUUUUAGUCCCUCUUUGAGGACUUUGUGACCGAGAAAAUGACCAGUUGGAGCUACUGAAAGUCAAGAACAGCAAGAAGCCUCAUCAGGAUGUGAGGGGGCGCAUCAACAAGCAGAUGAGAGAAGAGGAAAAUGAGCCAGAAAGGCGAAGAGAAAGGGGAUCCAGCAAAGAUCUUUGAGUAAGAGCAGGGGCUGGAGAGAUGGCUUAGCAGUUAAGAGCACUGACUUCCCUUCCAGAGGUCCUGAGUUCAAUUCCCAGCAACCACAUGGUGGCUAAAUAAUAAAUAAUAAAUCUAAAAAAAAAAAAGCAUUCCAGGCAGCCUGCUCUAGGUGACAAGAAGAAAGAAGAAUUGUACCAAGGAAGCAGUGUUCUCCCCAUUGAUCCUGUUCUGCCAAGCUGCAGGCUGGUGCAGGAGGUGGCCGCCACCCUCGUUGAGCUUGACAUUGAAGGGACAGGUUUGCCUCCCUUCACGUCAGUGCUGGACUAUGCUUUUCCCACAACAGAGACAUUGGCUGGAACUUAUAGCUCUAAUUUGAGAACAUGAGAUUUGUAGAAAUAAUAUGGUCAGAACCAGGAAUAACUUAACAGCCUGCUUUUUUAUCUUGACUUUGUAUAUUGGGUUGAUGAGAUUUCUGAAGUAUAGUAGAUUGGUCUCAACAUUUUCGCAUUAUUUUUGUAGCAGCUUGUGUAUGUAUCAAAGCAGGGAGAAUGGGGAAAACUAUGUGAUUUGCACGUAUUAUAAAAGAUAUGCUGAUACCUGGUGUUAAUUUUAACUUUUACUGUAGGUAGAAGUUGUUGAACAUGAAGCCAGUGACCUGGGUACCAAUAUAUUGUGUGCUUAAAAAAAAAAAUGGUUACAGGUAAGUCACUUGUAUUAGGAAAACUCAGAAGUUUAUUUAGUGCUAAGUAUAGUAUCGAAAGCACAGUACAAUUGAUGUUGGCCAAAUGAACACAUUGUUUUAAAUGAUAAAUUGGAAUUAACCUUGUUACUCCAGAAAAUACUUGUCAUUUUGUUUAUAAUCAGUGGCUUUUGUUGAAUUGGCUUGGGUUUUAGAUUUUAGCCCGUGCUGUGCUGGAAUUCACUAUGAAGCAGAGGCUGAACUGGAAUUUGAGGCCUUAUGGCUCUGUCCCAAGCGCUCCUCCCUCAAUACUGGACUUUUUACUAUGAAUUUUCAGGAAAUAUUUAUGCAAAGUAAGUUUAUUAAGCUCAAAUAAGUCAUUGAUAUCAGGAAAAAACAUUCAGACAGCAAAAAACUUGAAAUCUCCUGCUGGAUGUAGCUGCUCAUUUGUAAUCUCAGCACUUGGGCUUCCUAUAUUUUCAAAUAUUGGUUGUUCUUAAAAGUUAUAGUCCCAUAGCCAACCCAGGCUAUUUAGCAGUGAGAGAAUAUAUUUAGAGGGUAGUUUUCAGAUAAUAUGCAAGCUAACUAGGACAUAACAUGGAUUUAUAAGCCUUUCUUAAGUUAGGAUAGAUAACAGAGUGUUCUAUUUAAUUGACGAAAAUGCUGGACUGGGUGUUAGGUAUAUUUUGUACUUAAUAAAUUACAAAAUGCUAAUAGUUGUGCUCAAUGUAUAUCUGAAAAAAAAAGAGCCUUUUAAUUGGACAAAAAGUGGGGAAGUGCUGUGGAUAGCCCUGGUACUGUUUGUAUUUUGAUGCUAAUUCUGUUUCCCCUAGAGGGGUUGCCUGUGAAUUGAGUGAAUCAUGCCCUCAGGUGACUUCAUGUGAACCUUCCCCUAAUGGAUAAAGAUUUCAAAGAACCAAUCACUGAGCGAGUAGGCAGGACUCCGGGUCAGAGAAAGGGAUGGUGGAAGAAGAGAGGAGACAGGAAAGUGGACACCAAAAUGUAGGUAGAAGAGGCCCCAGUUUGGGUGGCAGAUCCGUUGGGCUUCAUUACGGGAGAAUUUAACUUAGAAAGGCUUACACAUUAGGACGCUAGUUGUUGCGCUCAGUGAUUGUGUUGCCUUUUGAUUCUAAGCUAAGAUUAUGUGGCGUUUUCCUUCAUGUGGCGACUCAACUGAGUUCCAGUCCACCAUGGCAACUUAGCAAGCUGGGUGGAGAGAUUUUGGAGCUCAGAUCAGAGGGUCUGCUGGGCUGAGAACAGGCCUGUCUGUUGGGUGUAAGUAUCUGCUUCUGUCUUAGUCAGCUGGUAGUCAAAGGACAGCCAUGCUAGACUCCUGUCUGUAAGCACAUCAUAGCAUCAAUAAUAGUGCCAGACCUAUUAGUGUCUCCCCCAUGAGGUAGAUCCCCAGUUGGGCUAGUCACUAGACUGCUUUUCCCUGUCUCUUCUCCAUUUUUGUCCCUGCAGUUCUUUUAGACAGGAACAGCUCUGGGUCAGAAAUUUUGACUGUGGGUUGAUAACACCAUCCCUCCUCUUGAGGCCCUGUCUAUCUACUGGAGGCAGACUCUUCUAGUUCUGUCUCCUCACUGUUGGGCAUUUUGGCUAAGGUCAGCUUCAUUGAGUCCUGAGAGUCUCUCACCUUCCAGAUACUUCCUAGAGGGUCUCCUCAUCUCCCAUCUUCUGAGGCUGCAUAUUUCCAUUCCUUCUGCUGGUCCUCUGGGCUUCUCUUCUGUUUGUCUCCCCCAUACAUGAUCAUGAUCCCCUUUUCUCCUCCCCCUCCCUCUGCUUUCUGUGAUGAUUUUCUUCCCCCUUCUAAGCUAGACUGAAGCAUCAUCAUUGACCUUUUUGCUUGAUAAACUCUGUGGCGUGUAUCCUAGGUAUUCUAUAUUUUUAGGCUAAUAUCCACUUAUUAGUAAAUACAAUGUAUAUCCUUUUGGGUCUGGGUUACCUCACUCAAGAUGAUAUUUCUUAGUUCUGAAAGAUCCUGACAAAAUGUAAAAGGUCACAGAAGCCCUGAAAUUGGCAAGAUAGAUGUCACUGUUAGCAGAACUAGCUUCACUGAUUUAGAAAAUUAGAGGUGCACAAUGCUCUGGCCACUCCUUGAACCUGUGUGUCUGCCAAUGUUUUGACCAUUCCUUGAACCCAUGUGUGUGCCCACUGAUGAAGCCCAUUGCCAGGUGUUUGUGAUAUUGGUUGCUGAGAAAGAGUCAGAAAAUCUCCCCAGCAGCCACAGGCCGGCCAAUCCUGAGUUGCUAUACCUGCACCAGACUCUUUCCUUGUACCCCUCCCAUACCCAUUUCUUGAGAAUAGACAUUGUUUAGAUCUGGAAAUCCCCUACUCUUCCCUUCUCCUUUGCCCCCUGAAGGCCUAUAAAAACUGGGACCUCUUUCCCCUCGAGGUUGACUCCUCUUCCCCUGCAUGGGAUAUGAGUCAUCCCCAGAGCUCUGGCUUUCCCCAAAUAAAGCCUCAUGUGGUUUGCACAAGCUUGGUCUAUCGUGAGUUCUUGGGUGUCCGCUAUUGUCCUGAGGCCUGAGCGAGGGGCUCCUCUCGGAGUCUUUCAGUUCCAUCUAUUUGCCUGCAAAACUCAUGAUACCCUCAUUCUUAAUAGCUGAGUAGUAUUCCAUUGUGUAAAUGUACCACAUUUUCUGUAUCCAUUCUUCCAUUGUAGAGCAUCUGAGUUGUUUUCAGCUUCUAGCUAUUAGUGGAACACGUGCCCCUGUGGCAUGCUGGGGCAUCUUUUGGGUAUAUGCCCAAAAGUGGUAUAGCUGGGUCUUCAGGUAGUUCUUAUUUUUAAUUUUCCAAGGGAUUGCCCGAUUGAUUUCCAGAGUUGUUGUACCAAUUUCCAAUCCCAUCCCAGUAAUGGGGUAUUGAUCCUUUUUCUCCACAUCCUCUCCAGCAUCUGCUGUCACCUGAGUUUUUGAUCUUAGCCAUUCGGACUGGUAUGAGGUGGAAUCUCAGGGUUAUUUUGAUUUGCAUUUCCCUGAUGACUAAGACCUUUGAACAUUUUGUUUGUUUGUUUGUUUUGGGGGUUUUUUUGGUUUGUUUUUUGUUUUGUUUUUUUCGAGACAGGGUUUCUCUGUGUAUCCGUGGCUGUCCUGGAUCCUACUCUGUAGACCAGGCUGGCCUCGAACUCAGAAAUCUGCCUGCCUCUGCCUCCCAAGUGCUGGGAUUAAAGGUGUGCGCCACCAUGCCCGGCUGAACAUUUCUUUAAGUGUUCUCAGCCGUUCGAGAUUCGUCUUUGUAAAUUCUCUGUUUAGCUCUGUAUCCCAUUUUUUGAUUGGUUUUAGAAGCUUCUUGAGUUCUUUAUUUAUAUUGGAGAUAGAUAGAUAGAUGAUAGAUAGAUAAAUAAAUGGAUACUGGAUGAGGGGUUAGUGAAGAUCUUUUCCAUUUUGUAGGUUGCCGAUUUGACCUAUUGACUAAGUCUUUUGCCUCACAGAAGCUUUUUGGUUUCAUGAGGUUCCAAUUGUUGAUCUUAGAGCAUGAGCCAUUGAAGUUCUAUUAAGGAAAAUUUCCCCUGUGCCAAUGAGUUUGAGACUCGUUUCCACUUUCUCUUCUAUUCAAUUCAGUGUAUCUGUUUUUAUGUUGAGGUCCUUGACCCACUUGGGCUUAACCUUUGUGAAGGUGACAAAUUGCCACACCCACUCCAGUGAAGACUGCAUGGCAGGCCCAAAAGCUUGUACGCAGCCCUGAGGCAAAGAGUUUCAUGGAAAUUUAGUCUCCCCGAACCUUGGCAUCUUGUAGCAUGAAUGUUCCAGACCUGCUUUGCGGUGAAUGGAUCUGUGUGCUUUCUUUCAGUAUUGUUUUAUUAUAGGUGCCUCUGAGAAAUAAGUUGUCAAAUACCUGAAUCAGGUUGAACUUUUGCUUCCUGGCCUUCACCAAUGUUCUAGGUAGUCCUGGAGCCGACCCUGGGCUUGGAAUUUCAUAAGAAUGUUAGUCAUUCAGACGAAAUGCCCCAAUGUUGACAAUUAGUAAUCAGGAAUCUCACAGUUUGCCGGAUAGGACCUAGUAAUCUCAGGGCUAGUUCAAAAUAGUAAACUUAGACUCCUCAUUACAGUCAGGUAUGGCAGACUACAUUACAUAUUAGAAGAAUGUUGGUGAGUUCUUCUGACAAAUGGAGAUUCCCUACAGACACUUUAAAGAGUAGCCAAGUUACUCCCAUAUGCAAGAAUUUAUAAUGGUCUAAGAAGAAGGAGGGUUGUGGUUUAAGAAGGAACUACAGUAUCGCAUUAUUCAUGAAACGAUCCGCAAGAGCAGAACCCCCAAGUGGAAGCUUUCUCAAGGCUCAGAGGAAUAGCAUACAUUGUGACUAGGGUGUGAAAUCCUCACCUGGCUCCUGUCAAUAGCUGACUUUAGAUAGCUGAUCGUAUCUCAAUUGUAAACAUUGCCUGGUUUCUGCCAGUCCUUUUGUAUGCAUUUUUUGUCUUGUGUCAGAUAACUUCAAUGUACCUUGGCUGAUGUGUCACCUAACUUCUUUGUUUUCUUCUGUUAUAUAUAAGUCUGAUGCUUGUUUUGAGAAAUUACAUUCAGAU
rnacentral:lncRNA from 1 species